GUGUGCGCGCGCGUCUCUUCUGUGUGUGGAAACUCCUUCUGAGCGUUUCCUCCUUCUCACACGCAGCGGGGUGGAGAGAGCCACACCUCGUGCGCGGGGCUGGAUUUCCCAAGGAAAGUUUCCAUGCCAGUCUGAGCCAGGGAACUGGCUGGAGGCGAGAGAGGAAGGGGGGUCGAAAGAGAAGGAGCCGCGCUCCCCAAGAAGACCAGGUAGACUUCAAACAACGUCCGAGGAGCCCUAUUUGCUUCUGCCUCACUGUCAGGGCACGGGGAGGAACUCCGCAAAUCUCCGCCAGCGUCUUUUCUCCGGAACGGCGGAAUCGUCUCAGCUCGCGAAAUGAUCUCGGAGGCCGUCGUGUGAAUCUUCUGGACCCUGCAGUGGUGGUGGGGGGG